AGUGGCAGACGGGUGAGUAAUGUAUAGGAAUCUACCUAGUAGUACGGAAUAAUUGUUGGAAACGGCAACUAAUACCGUAUACGCCCUACGGGGGAAAGAUUUAUCGCUAUUAGAUGAGCCUAUAUUAGAUUAGCUAGUUGGUAAGGUAAUGGCUUACCAAGGCAAUGAUCUAUAGCUGAUCUGAGAGGAUGAUCAGCCACACUGGAACUGAGAUACGGUCCAGACUCCUACGGGAGGCAGCAGUGGGGAAUAUUGGACAAUGGGCGAAAGCCUGAUCCAGCCAUGCCGCAUGAGUGAAGAAGGCCUUUGGGUUGUAAAGCUCUUUCGGUGAGGAAGAUAAUGACGGUACUCACAGAAGAAGUCCUGGCUAACUCCGUGCCAGCAGCCGCGGUAAUACGGAGAGGGCUAGCGUUAUUCGGAAUUAUUGGGCGUAAAGAGCGCGUAGGCUGGUUAGUAAGUU
rnacentral:rRNA from 1 species